GUGGAAUGGCAGUGUGUUCAACAGUCAGGCAAUCAGCUAUGGAGAGAGGGCCAAGGCCCAACUUAAAGCGUUGUGACAGAAGAGCCUCAUAAAGUGAGCCAGAGCGGUGCACAAACAACAUAUUUUGAACUUCAUAUUGCAGUGACAAACACAAGUUAGAAAACGGCUGUUCUGGAAUGUACUCAUUUUGUGUAGCUGAAAGAUUUAGGUGACAGGUUUGAGGCAAGCACUACCAGGGAGAAGCGCAAGUCAGAAAAGGGAGUUACUUCCCAAGAAGCGACAGGUGAACCAAGAACCCCACGCCCUUUCCAACACCUGCGAGUGUGGGGAACUCUGGGGGCUCAGGAAUUGCACCGUCGGUGUCCGGACAUCACGCCGGAGGCAAGAAGGCGCGCAGACAGCGAACGGAAGUAGGGUAUACGGGGCUCCACGGACCUCACGUGGCGCCGCCGGCGCAGCAAGGUUUGGCGGGCAAGCAGAGGCAGGGCGAGCCGCGGG